CCUACGGGGCGCAGCAGUAGGGAAUAUUGGGCAAUGGACGGAAGUCUGACCCAGCCAUGCCGCGUGCAGGAUGAAGGCGUCAGCGUUGUAAACUGCUUUUAUCAGGGAAGCGGUACCUGAGGAAUAAGCACCGGCUAACUCCGUGCCAGCAGCCGCGGUAAUACGGAGGGUGCAAGCGUUGUCCGGAUUUAUUGGGUUUAAAGGGUGCGUAGGUGGUUUUCUAAGUCUGGUUUGAAAGCUGUUCGCUUAACGAUCAGAUGUGGCUGGAAACUGGAGGACUUGAAUAAUUUGGCGGUAGCCGGAAUGGGUCAUGUAGCGGUGAAAUGCAUAGAUAUGACCCGGAACACCGAUUGCGAAGGCAGGCUACUACGAAUUAUUGACACUGAGGCACGAGAGCAUGGGUAGCGAACAGGAUUAGAUACCCUGGUAGUC
rnacentral:rRNA from 1 species